GGGGGUGAUAUAGGGUCGACGGACGGUGGAGUGAGUACCUGCAUCUCGGUUGGACGCGCCGUUAUCUGCUCAAUCGCAUAGUUGCCAACGACAACCGUGCUCCGGUGGCUCUGGCUGCGUAAGCAGCUCGAACAUCGAAACUUAAGUCCUUGCGCUUAGCCGCGUAAGGCGGGGUUCGCAGGUACCUGGCAACAGAAACCUGCACU
rnacentral:tmRNA from 1 species